rnacentral:tRNA from 1 species
AUUCAAGGACCGGUCUCGAAAACCGGAGUAGGGGCAACUCUACCGGGGGUUCAAAUCCCCCUCUCUCCGCCA